UACGAAGGGGGCUAGCGUUGUUCGGAAUUACUGGGCGUAAAGCGCACGUAGGCGGAUUUGUAAGUCAGGGGUGAAAUCCCGGGGCUCAACCUCGGAACUGCCUUUGAUACUGGGAAGCUUGAGUCCGGAAGAGGUGAGUGGAACUCCGAGUGUAGAGGUGAAAUUCGUAGAUAUUCGGAAGAACACCAGUGGCGAAGGCGGCUCACUGGUCCGGUACUGACGCUGAGGUGCGAAAGCGUGGGGAGCAAACAGG
rnacentral:rRNA from 1 species